rnacentral:rRNA from 1 species
GAUGAACGCUGGCGGCGUGCCUAAUACAUGCAAGUUGAACGAAACUUCUUUAUCACCGAGUGCUUGCACUCACCGAUAAAGAGUUGAGUGGCGAACGGGUGAGUAACACGUGGGCAACCUGCCCAAAAGAGGGGGAUAACACUUGGAAACAGGUGCUAAUACCGCAUAACCAUAGUUACCGCAUGGUAACUAUGUAAAAGGUGGCUAUGCUACCGCUUUUGGAUGGGCCCGCGGCGCAUUAGCUAGUUGGUGAGGUAAGGGCUUACCAAGGCAAUGAUGCGUAGCCGAACUGAGAGGUUGAUCGGCCACAUUGGGACUGAGACACGGCCCAAACUCCUACGGGAGGCAGCAGUAGGGAAUCUUCCACAAUGGGCGAAAGCCUGAUGGAGCAACGCCGCGUGGGUGAAGAAGGUCUUCGGAUCGUAAAACCCUGUUGUUAGAGAAGAAAGUACGUGAGAGUAACUGUUCACGUUUCGACGGUAUCUAACCAGAAAGCCACGGCUAACUACGUG